rnacentral:rRNA from 1 species
AAUGGGGGAAACCCUGAUGCAGCGACGCAGCGUGCGGGAUGACGCCCUUCGGGUUGUAAACCGCUUUCAGCAGGGAAGAAGCGCAAGUGACGGUACCUGCAGAAGAAGUACCGGCUAACUACGUGCCAGCAGCCGCGGUAAUACGUAGGGUACGAGCGUUGUCCGGAAUUAUUGGGCGUAAAGAGCUCGUAGGUGGUUGGUCACGUCUGCUGUGGAAACGCAACGCUUAACGUUGCGCGUGCAGUGGGUACGGGCUGACUAGAGUGCAGUAGGGGAGUCUGGAAUUCCUGGUGUAGCGGUGAAAUGCGCAGAUAUCAGGAGGAACACCGGUGGCGAAGGCGGGACUCUGGGCUGUAACUGACACUGAGGAGCGAAAGCAUGGGGAGCGAACAGGAUUAGAUACCCUGGUAGUCCAUGCCGUAAACGUUGGGCACUAGGUGUGGGGGGCAUUCCACGUUCUCCGCGCCGUAGCUAACGCAUUAAGUGCCCCGCCUGGGGAGUACGGUCGCAAGGCUAAAACUCAAAGGAAUUGACGG